UAUGUGAUCGUCUCUCGCAUAUCAAUAAGCGGAGGAAAAGAAACUAACAAGGAUUCCCCUAGCAACGGCGAGUGAAGCGGGAAGAGCUCAAAUUUGAAAUCUUAAAGGGUUUCCCUUUACGAAUUGUAGUUUAAAGAAGCGUUUUCUGUUGAGGUUUUGGUAAAAGUUCUUUGGAAUAGGACAUCAUAGAGGGUGAGAAUCCCGUAUUUGACCUUUACUUUCAACUUUGUGAUACACUUUCAAAGAGUCGGAUUGUUUGGGAAUGCAGUCCAAAAUGGGUGGUAAAUUUCAUCUAAAGCUAAAUAUUGGCGAGAGACCGAUAGCGAACAAGUACCGUGAGGGAAAGAUGAAAAGAACUUUGAAAAGAGAGUUAAACAGUACGUGCAAUUGUCAAAAGGGAAGCGCUUGACACCAGUGUUGUUUUUCUGAAAAUCAAUUAAAGAACUGUUUAUGCUAAGCUGUUUAGACUUUAUCAGCUAACUGUUUAGUUUUGAGCUUUUCUUUAAUGCACUUUUCAGUUAACAAGUCAACAUCAAUUUCUUUUGCUGUAAAAAAGCUUGAGGAAGGUGGCUUGAGAUUCGUCUUAAGUGUUUAUAGCCUCUUGCCUAUGCAGUCGGAGAGAUUGAGGUCUGCAGCGUAGAUCCUUCGGGGCUAAAUGCAUUUGUGCUAAGUUAUAGCAUUUUAUAGACAACUUGUUGACUAUGAUUUGUCUUGUAGCUUACUCGCUUAUGUUAUUUUACCUACGCUUAGGAUGUUGAGUAGCGACAUACGCAC
rnacentral:rRNA from 1 species